ACGUAUAUAAUGUAAUGACCCCUUAACUACCUUUGUGUAGUGGACAAGCGAACUUAACUCCCAUCACUACGAUCGAUCCAUUUUCGGCAUUUUUGGGGCAUCUCAAACACUCACAUCCUUUUGCUCCAGCCCCUGAUAUAAUAAAGAACGGGUGCCUAUAUAGUCUUUAGGUGCUAGAGAUCGCAGGAAACUCAAGUUCAUGUGCAUAGCCCCGGCAAGAGGUUUCAUAAGAGAGCAGGACUUGGAGCGCCUCUGUUGUCCCUGUGAGAGGUGACAUUCAUCAUCACAAAGGCUCCAGAUCAUUCCGGAACUGAGAACUUCCCUGGGGUGAAGCAGGCAGGGAGACAAGAAGUGACCCAGGAGCUUCUUAAUUCUCAACGGACAACUUUGGAGAGAGGGCUUGCUGUGGCCCUUGCUGUCGGCUGCAUUGGGAUGGGAAGGGGAGACAGGAGUGGAUGAACUUGUCCUGAGCCAACAGGCUCAGGACAGGUGAGGCAGGACGCUCAGGACCUUAAGGGCCUCCACGAAAUGCAUUCGUCAAGUCUCAGAGGCUGCUGAAGGCUCUCCCAGGAACUUUUCAGCUGAGCUGAGCUAAGGGAAGCACCACAAGGGGGUGAGUUUCUGCUGCGUCAAAUGACUCAGCCAUUCAGAGUGAGGAAAGCUGCCAGCAUGGAAUACACUGAGUUCCUUGAUAAAGGAGAUGGGUAUGUAUA